ACCUGAGUUUACCUGAGAGGUAAGGACUAGCUGCGUUCCCACACUACUCUAUUUUUAAGAUCGGAUCACCAGUGUCAGCGGCAGGUGGUGGGUGAGGGGGCCGAGAAGGGGUACCUAGUGACUGGAUACCUGCGGAGAGACAUUCCAAAACAGGUAGAUUACCUGUAGCGAAAUAUAGUUUUGUAGGGAGCUGUCUGUUAUCCAUUGGAAUUAAGGCUGACAAGAAUAGGACUGAUUUGGCAUCAAGCAUCUGUUGUCGAUUUCCAUAUCGUGAAAUCAACAUCCCCGCCACCUUCUCGACGCACGUGUCAGGACGUGCAGGCGGUGUCCUCCGGAUCUCUCGCGAUCUCACUCACAGCAACCAGCACGUGUCCAGGGCCGCAUUCCCAUGCAUAAUUGCGGAAAUGGAAUCAAUGAAACGACGUCGGGUUCGGCAUUCAUCCGUAAUCAAUCAGUAACUGUCAGGACAGUCAAUUGAUGUCACCAACGUUCGACUCCCGGGUGCACGUGCCAGGAAAAAUUACGGUACAUGAAAUUACGACAACCGAACUGCUGGAAUGGACUUUGGCGCCAAAUCUGUACUACUGAUGAUGGCUUUUUUGAACCAAGUGCAUAAAGCUUUUAAAAUGGUGUUUGUUUAGGACAUUUUGAAAUGUUUUUUUCCAAUUACAAAACAAAUAUUUCUGAAUGUGAAAAACAUGACCCACUGAAUAUAAAAUAGCUAAAUCUUCUCGUUUAAUGGCCAAUAAAGGUAAAGAGACAUCAAUUGAACAUCAUUAGUCGGGAGUAUCUAAAGACACCUGUGAGGAGAUGGAUUUCACCUUGAUGAUUGUGUAUUGCUGUCGAAUAACAGGUGCUCGCCCUGGUACAGCGCGCUCGUCCAAUGGCGUCAUAUGUUACGUCUGUAACCGACCAAUCGUUUCACUGGAUUAACAAGCACGAGGGAAAUUCAAAUGCAUAUGUACAGCAGCUGUAGAAUGCCUGAAUAAACGUAACAAAAACGUGACAAAUAAGUAAAAACGGUUUGAUAUAACAAUGACAUGUUGGCGAAUGCUGUUGUGUAUUGAAAACUCGUUUCUUUGUUCCGGUGCCAUCUGCCGCGAACAUGCGGUACAUUUCACUCUCUUUUAUGCCACCAAAGUGUAAAGUCUGUGUAUCAAAACAAAUCUCUCAUAAAAUUCUCACAAAUAUAUUCCUAA
rnacentral:sRNA from 1 species